UGAGACCUUCCAGAUGAGUGUUGAUCUGAAACUUUCAUCAGUCAAACCUGAAGACUGGGAGAGGUACGAAUGUGUGUUUCAGUUCGGUGGUGUCAACAAGGAGAUCAUCACCAAACCGGACAAAACAAAAAUCAAGACCAAUACAGGUCCUUCAGGGUUUCAUGUUGGUGGUGUUAUCGGUGGUGUUAUCGGUGGUCUUGUGGUUCUUCUCCUGGCCGUCUGUAUCGGAAUCUAUUUCAAGUUACGAGGAAAUGGGUUUAAUCGUGCAAACACUUCUGAUACUGUGACUUGAAGAUUCAGACUCCAAAGUAAUUAAAUCCUGAUGAGAGCAGUAAAGAGUAAACAACCAUCUCUGAACUGAGGAAGGACCUAAGGGUACAGCUGUGAUUGCAGCCCCGACUCUCUGUGAAUGGUACUCAGGACUACUGAUCAAAGGUCAUGACUUAAUAACAAUCAUAAAACUGACCUCGUGGCCCAUUGCUAGUCAGUGGUGCUAAUUCCAGUCAUUAUGCAAAUGUUCUGUUUAUAAGGUUAUAAGUUUACAAGUCACUUGAAUGAGCGACGAAACGUUUCUCCCACUGAAAACGCUCCGUCCAGAUGAACAGAAUCAGUGAUUUUGUGUUUUUCACUCAGAAAUUGCAACAUUCACAGAUGUAGAUCCUAAAUUAUUUAAACACAAGGACAUUUUUGGGACAUUUGUCUAUGAUGAGAAGUUGGUUUCUUUUUUCUUUUGAUGCUUCUUUUGUCAUUUUGUUUUGGAUCUGUUAUAAUUUAUAUACUAUAUAAUGUUAUCUUUUAUAAGAAAAGUUUCUUUUCAAGAACGUUCUCCUUCAAAUUAAUUUAUUUCACACAUUUUGUUAAGCUCUGUGAUUACAGACAUCAUAGAGCUGCGAUUAUUAAUGAAAUCCUUGCACAAUGUAUGAUAUUCAGAACUUGUACAGAUUUUAUAUAUAAAAUCAUUCGUAGAACAGUAAACAGUGGAGGGAUUCUAUGUUAUAUUUAUUUAUUUAAUUAUUAUUAUUUAAUAAUUUUAUCAGGCAACUGAGGACAUGUUUAAACUGAAUCCUACUGACUGAGAUUCUUCUAGACCACAGUGGUAUAAUUUUUUGUCAUAUCUCACAGUUUUUCCCUUUUAAAAAAAUCAUUACAUUUUUUAAAUGAUUUUGUCACAUCAUUAUUUUCUGCAUCUACUUUGGUUAGUCCUUUAAAAAAUAUAACGUUUCAGGGUCUCAGGGAAUUCCAGUGAAAAGCAUCCAAUUCCACUUGUGCAAUUUUAAUAAAUGAAACCAUUCAUUCACUUAAUAUUUGCCAUGAGUCCUACGUGAAAGUGAUACGUCAGACGAGUGUGAGAACUCAGACAUUUUAAAGAGCAAAACUCUUGGAUGCCAUCGUUCAUACUAGAAGUUCGGUGGAGACGUCACUGGAUCUACUUGAGACAGCUGCUCUGUGUGCUGGAUGUUUCACAUGAAGAGCAGAUGCUGCAACAACGCAGGUUAUAAUCCAAGAAACAUUGAUCCUCCUGGAAGUUAGAAAACUCCACCAGCUGAUGUGACUUUCCAAGGAUUUGCUUAAAGGUCUUCUCAAAAGAGGUGUUAACUUUACAUGACCAUGCCCUGAGGAAAGCAUGAAUCAAGCUGUAUGCUAUAACUGCCUGUAGUGUGCGUUUAGCCGCAGCUGUUUUUACUUGUUUCUGCUCCAAACACAAUCAUGUAGCUUUAGCAUUGCCAGCAGAUUGUUGUCAGGUUUGUUCCUGGUGGGAGCUGGUCUGCAGUGUACUGAAAAGUCAAACUACUGUUAUUUUGAUGAGCUUUUAUUUAAGUAUGGAUAAUAUAACUCCAAUUUUAAAUGUGAGCACAAAAAGAUGUUGGUGCAAGUUAUGGAGACUUUACUAGGCUGAGAAACCCAAAUAAACAUUUCAGAGAGAGCAACACCGUACAAGUGGCCAAAUCAACAAUCUGGUGCGUUAUUAAAAAGAAUGGAUGCACUGACCAGCUCGGCAACAACAAAAGGCCUGAAAGACCACAGAAGACAACUAAAGUGAAUGAUGGCAGAAUUAUUUACAUGGUUACAAGAAAUAACUUA